GUGAUUAAUAAUGCAGAAGAGGAAGGCUUAAGAGUUAUUGUGCUGUGUGGGUUCUGGGAGGAAGUAAUUAUUGCAAGUCACUGACUAUUUUGGCUAACAAGUUACAGAAAUGGUCCAAACAGACUUCAACAUCUGUGCUAAAAUAAUAAUCUUGUGAGGAUUCAAGGCCAUCCGUACUUUACUACCACCUCUGCCUUCUGUAGAUCAAACAGCCAGAGAUUCCUGUUUUUUCAAGAUGCCAGCAACCCACCAAAGUCAAUGAUUAAUCGUUGUGGAAAAUGGAUCCCUGCCUAGCCAACCUCUUAAGAUUAAGGAAUGACAGGAUUUAAUUAAGUAUGAGGGAGGAAAUGAGGGCAAUAGAUGCUAUGGCUGUACCGGCUGAUUAUGUGUGUCAACUUGACAUAAGUUAGAGUCAUCAGAGAGGAAGGAUCCUCAGUUGAGAAAAUGCCUCCAUGAGAUCCAGCUUUAAGACAUUUUUUUCAAUUAGUGAUUGAUGUGGGAGAAUGCAAGCUGAGCAAGCCAUGGGAAGCAAGCCAGUCAGCAGCACCCCUCCAUGGCCUCUGCAUCAGCUCCUGCCUCCAGGAUCCAGCCCUACUUGAGCUCCUGUCUUGAAUUCCUCCAAUGAUGAACUGUGAUCUGAAAGUGCAAGCCAAAUAAACCCUUUCCUCCCC